rnacentral:rRNA from 1 species
AUGCCCACACAAAUUGGAGACAUGACAGAAUUGCAGGUGGUAUCUCAUAUUGCUGGCGACGGCAGUGAACUAAAAUAUCUUGGCUACUUACUCCAGUUGAUUAAGUUGGGUGUGGUUGUCUCUGGAAGUAAAACAUCAUUAGUCUUGAGGCAUUUGUACUAUGCAACUGGAAAUCUUGGAUUUCUUCGCUCACUGUCAAUCCAUUUCGCAGAAACCGAAGAAGAGAAUGAGAAUGUGGACAAGAAAGAUCCAUCCCCAAGAUAUCCAAAGUAUCUUCAUAAGCUAAAAAUCAGUGGCCUGAAAAAUGGAUUGCCGUCAUGGAUUGAAAAACUCAAGGCACUUACCAAAAUGACCCUGCAUAUGGCUUUAAUAACAGAAGAUGACUUCAAAAUCCUUGGUCUGCUCACAAGCUUGUCCUGGCUUAGGCUCCGAGCAGAGUCAUGCAAUGAAAGUACAGUCACCUUCAAAAAAGGUGCAUUUCAGAGUCUUGAGUUCCUUGACAUUGAGCGCUCAGCCAUUACCGGUAUCAACUUUGACAAUGAGGCCUGUCCUAAGCUGAAGAACAUAGCCUGGUCUUCUACUGGUGAACAAUCUCUUUCAGGGAUUGAGCGCCUCCCAAGCCUCGAAAAGCUCGAGUUGACAGGCAGCUUUGAUGUGGAAGGUGUGAAACAAGCAAUUGAAGCAAGCAAGAACUAUAUUAUGUUGGAAUCAUACCCUACCAGGACCAGGUCCGGGGUGUGA